CCCACUGAAUUUAAGCAUAUUAGUCAGCGGAGGAAAAGAAACUAAAGAGGAUUCCUCAGUAACAGUAAGUGAAGAAAAAAGAGCCCAGUGCCAAAUCCCUGCCCUGUGGUAGGGUGCAGGACGUGGCGUACAGAAGUCCCCCUCCCCAGCGGCACUCGGGGGACCCAAGUCCUUGUGAUCCAGGCCACAGCUCGCGGGCAGUGUGAGGCUGGUAGCGGCCCCCUGACGUGCCAGGCCCUGGGCUUCUUGGAGUCUGGUUGCUUGGGAAUGCGGCCCAAAGUGGGUGGUAAACUCCAUCUAAGGCUAAAAACUGGCACAAGACAGAGAGCCAACAAGUUCUAUAAGGGAAAGCUGAAAAGAACUUGAAAGAGAGAAUUCAAGAGGAGGUGAAAACAUUAAGAGGCAAUGGGUGGGGCCUGCUAUGAUCAAAGUUUACAGCUUCCUCACAAGGGGAAGUGGAGGGGCAGGUGUGUGCCCUGAUCUCUGGUGACCAGUGAUGGGACCUGGGGGAAUGGCACGAAGAUGUGCCAGGGGAGGUUUAGGUUGGAUAUUAGGAAAAGGUUUUUCACGCAGAGGGUGAUUGAGCACUGGAAUAGGCUCCCCAGGGAAGUGGUUAUGGCACCAAGCCCGACAGUAUUCAAGAAGCAUUU
rnacentral:ncRNA from 1 species